GAUGAACGCUGGCGGCGUGCCUAAUACAUGCAAGUCAACGGGGAGUAUUAAUUUCGAUUUUUACUCCUAGUGGCGAACGGGUGAGUAACACGUAGGUGACCUGCCUCGAAGACGGGGAUAACCGCUGGAAACGGCGGCUAAUACCCGAUGGUCUCGGCGAUUCGGUUCGUCGAGUAAAGCUCCGGCGCUUCGAGAGGGGCCUGCGGCCCAUCAGCUUGUUGGUAGGGUAAUGGCCUACCAAGGCAAAGACGGGUAGGGGGCGUGAGAGCGUGACCCCCCACACUGGCACUGGGACACGGGCCAGACUCCUACGGGAGGCAGCAGUGAGGAAUAUUGCCCAAUGGGCGAAAGCCUGAGGCAGCAACGCCGCGUGGGUGAUGAAGGCCCUCGGGUCGUAAAACCCUUUUCUGGGGGAAGAGAAAGGACGGUACCCCAGGAAUAAGUCUCGGCUAACUAUGUG
rnacentral:rRNA from 1 species